AUCACUUCUCGGCCUUUUGGCUAAGAUCAAGUGUAGAAAUGUAGGGGGAGAGAAGGGGAAUGUGCUGGAAGAUAGUCUCUCCCCAGUUUUUUUUUUUUUAAUUUUUUUAAUUUCCCCAAUACAUUAU
rnacentral:snRNA from 2 species